AGUGAACGCUGGCGGUAGGCCUAACACAUGCAAGUCGAACGGCAGCACAGUAAGAGCUUGCUCUUACGGGUGGCGAGUGGCGGACGGGUGAGGAAUACAUCGGAAUCUACUUUUUCGUGGGGGAUAACGUAGGGAAACUUACGCUAAUACCGCAUACGACUUACGGGUGAAAGCAGGGGAUCUUCGGCCUUUGCGCGAUUGAUUGAGCCGAUGUCGGAUUAGCUAGUUGGCGGGGUAAAGGCCCACCAAGGCGACGAUCCGUAGCUGGUCUGAGAGGAUGAUCAGCCACACUGGAACUGAGACACGGUCCAGACUCCUACGGGAGGCAGCAGUGGGGAAUAUUGGACAAUGGGCGCAAGCCUGAUCCAGCCAUACCGCGUGGGUGAAGAAGGCCUUCGGGUUGUAAAGCCCUUUUGUUGGGAAAGAAAAGCAGCAGGUUAAUACCCCGCUGUUCUGACGGUACCCAAAGAAUAAGCACCGGCUAACUUCGUG
rnacentral:rRNA from 1 species